GAUGAACGCUGGCGGCGUGCCUAAUACAUGCAAGUCGAGCGAACAGAUGAGGAGCUUGCUCCUCUGACGUUAGCGGCGGACGGGUGAGUAACACGUGGAUAACCUACCUAUAAGACUGGGAUAACUUCGGGAAACCGGAGCUAAUACCGGAUAAUAUAUUGAACCGCAUGGUUCAAUAGUGAAAGACGGUUUUGCUGUCACUUAUAGAUGGAUCCGCGCCGCAUUAGCUAGUUGGUAAGGUAACGGCUUACCAAGGCAACGAUGCGUAGCCGACCUGAGAGGGUGAUCGGCCACACUGGAACUGAGACACGGUCCAGACUCCUACGGGAGGCAGCAGUAGGGAAUCUUCCGCAAUGGGCGAAACCCUGACGGAGCAACGCCGCGUGAGUGAUGAAGGUCUUCGGAUCGUAAAACUCUGUUAUUAGGGAAGAACAAAUGUGUAAGUAACUAUGCACGUCUUGACGGUACCUAAUCAGAAAGCCACGGCUAACUACG
rnacentral:rRNA from 1 species